GGAUUAGCUCAGUGGAAGAGCACUUGCCUAGCACAUGCAAGGCCCUGGGUUCAAUUCUCAGCACCA
rnacentral:tRNA from 1 species